CAGAGAGAACGCGCGCGAACACACACAUAACACUACAACGGAUUUAACCUCAGCCCGGCGUUGGCUGAAUAAAACUACUACAAACACCAUGGAACAUCAACAGCUCCCUAAUUCCAAAGGUAAAAUUCCAGGUCUGACUCUAACCAAAACGGACUCUAACCAAAGCAAAUUUUCCCAUGGAAAAUCCAAUCAAUCCGUUCCAGACACUUUUAUGUCUGUAAAAUUCCAGGUCUGACUCUAACCAAAACGGACUCUAACCAAAGCAAAUUUUCCCAUGGAAAAUCCAAUCAAUCCGUUCCAGACACUUUUAUGUCUGUAAAAUUCCAGGUCUGACUCUAACCAAAACGGACUCUAACCAAAGCAAAUUUUCCCAUGGAAAAGCCAAGUAAUCCGUUCCAGACACUUUUAGAAGGCCUGACUCUAACCAAAGCAAAAUUUCCCAUGGAAAAUCCAAUCAAUCUGUUCCAGACACUUUUAUAAGGUCUAACUCCAACCAAAACGGACUGUAACCAAAGCAAAAUUUCCCAUGGAAAAUCCAAUGAAUUCGUUCCAGACACUUUUAUUGCUGCCUUGGUUAACCAGAAGAUCUGACUCUAACCAAAAUGGACUCUAACCAAAGCAAAUUUUACCCUGGAAAAUCCAAUCAAUCCGUUACAGACACUUUUAUGUAAGUAAUGUUUAAUGCAAGUAAUUUUUGUUUUUAUGUUCUCAACUUUUAUUUAAUUUUU